rnacentral:rRNA from 1 species
UACGUAGGGUGCAAGCGUUGUCCGGAAUUAUUGGGCGUAAAGAGCUCGUAGGCGGUCUGUUGCGUCGGCUGUGAAAACCCGAGGCUCAACCUCGGGCCUGCAGCCGAUACGGGCAGACUAGAGUUCGGCAGGGGAGACUGGAAUUCCUGGUGUAGCGGUGAAAUGCGCAGAUAUCAGGAGGAACACCGGUGGCGAAGGCGGGUCUCUGGGGCCGAUACUGACGCUGAGGAGCG